ACUCACCGGGGCUGGUGGUGCUCUGCAGGCUCCCCCUCUUACGAAACGGGGAUUUAGGUUUAGGCUUCGCUUGUCCAUCAUUGUUGGAGGAGGAGGAGGAAGAGGUGGAGGAAGAAGAGGAUGACAUCUUGCUGCCCGUGCUCCUGUUACUGCCGGAGCAAAGCGAGUCAGAGGUGCGCAGUGGCCAGCAGAGGGAGAAAGGAGCGCUGAUGCUGGGGCUCUGUCUCAUGGUGGGCAGCAGGACCCAUACUGGGCAGGGAGAAGCUCCUCUGCAGAGCUGGCUCCUCCUCCUCCUCAUCCUCCUCCUCCUAGCCAGCAGCAGGUCAGCAGGCGUGCCGCACAGCGACGAGCCGAGAGGCGGCCCGAGGCUCAGCCGGCCCUCGCUGGGGGCCAUCCGCCCUGGUUGCCCUAGCAACCAGCCAAUGAGCUUCCUAUAGCCCCGAUGCAGGAAACAGACAGAGGCAGAGGCAGAGGAGGGCAUUGCAGAUCAAAGUGUGCAGCUAGCAUGACCAGCCAGCGAGCACGGAGACCGACAACACCCCCACCGCUAGCUCAGCACCAAGACUCACCACCUGACAUUGUUGAGGACCAGCUGGGAGCAGAAGCAGACGAGACAGGAAACGUCCUGCAGAAAACAGCAGCAACAGAGCACGAUCUCUCCUCAAGUCUCCAAUACAAUGUGCCUGGGAAUGUGGUGGAAACAAAGAAAUCAUAUUGUUGUUUUCUAGCUCUCUAUGUCCGCAACCAAGUUUGUUGCUGCCACAGAAUCUGGCUGCGAUCCUCUCGUCCAUCUGCUUUCACUUCUUUGUGAUAACCAGCGACAGAAAAACUACUUGAGUCAACAUUUUGGACUCAAUAAACUCUGAAGUCUCCUCUGCAAUCUGUCCAGGGAUACGGAAAUCUAUCGGUAUGGACUGUGCUAGCUCCGGUUGUUGGGACUGAGCCACGGGACAGCAGGCUUCCCCUUUAGGGCUGGAGGUGCUGUGAGAGUUUUGAGGAUCCAUGUUGCAGCCGGUGCCCUGAAGAAACUGGAGGAAAUUCUCCUCUAUGGAUCCUUCACGGCUGGCCAGUCUGUCCUCCAUCUCAACUCCUGCUCGAUGAAACAGACAAGGCAGAUGCUUGCCCAGCUCCUCCCGGAUCUGUCUGUUGAGACAGCCAUAGAAGAAGGGAUUGGAGGUGAAGCAGAAGUAGCCAAUCCAGGUGACCACCUCCUCCAGAGAGGCUAGUGUGGCUGGAGGGCUGGCAGACAGUGCUGAAUACAGGUGGAAUGUAAAGUAGGGCAGCCAGCAACAAAGGAAUUGCCCACCUACUGCUGCCAACACUGCUGCAGCCUUCCCUCCCCCAAAGGGACGAUGCGGAGUGGCUCUGCCUGUCCCAGUCCCAGUCCCAGAGCUGGUAACCAUCGUGGAACGGCUGCUGAGAGACUCUGACCGCUGCCGUCGAGGCGUGUCCAUCCAGGUAGGCAGAGGCCCAUGGUGCAUGGCUGCUACCCGAGCCACUUUGAACAUAUUGCAGUACACAACAAGAAUGACCAGUAGUGGACACAGGAAAUACACUAAAGUAAACAGGGCCAUGAAGGCCAAGCGGUUUGAGCCCCCCCCUGUCCAAUGUAGUGAGCAGCGCCUGUGACCCUGAGCAGGUGGAGAUGGGACUGCCCCACCUCCUCCUCCCCCCACCCCACCACUCUCCAGAAGAGGAGUUCUUCCACCUUGCAGGAACCAAGCGAGCAGCGGCAGAGCGGACAUAGCCAGGGCAUUGACCCAUAUCCCCACCAGCACUGACGCUACCAGGCCAACAGUCAUUUUUACUUCAUAGCGCAUUGGGUGUAUGAUGUAGUAAUAACGCUCAACAUUGAUGACGGAGAUAGAGAGGAUGGCAGCGCUAACCAGGCACACACUGAGAAAGAGGUAGCUCCGGCACAGGGCCUCCCCGAAGAAGGCUCGGUUUGAGAUCAUGCCAAGGGGCAUCAGCACCAGGGCUGCCAGCAGGUCCACCACGCACAGGUGGAACACAAAGGCAAACUUGUGGAGCUGUGGUGCCUUGGCAAUGACCGCCAUGACAGCCACAUUACUCACCACAGCCAGCAGAUCCAUGAGCAGCAUGGCCAGCAGGGCUAGCGACUGGGACAGAGCCCAGCCCUCAGGCAGAAAGGAGGCAGACAUGUUGGAGAUGAGCUGUGGAGGUGGGUGGGAGGAGUUCCACGUCGGCUCCAUUGAAGCAGGCAGGCAGGAGCAGUCACAGGUCCAUCACCCAUCCUUCAAAGCCAGAGAGUACGACCAGAAAACAGCGGCUAGAAAAUGAGGUCAAAAACUGCCUUGUAGUCCGGAUGAUGAUGCUGCAUGAGGUUCAGAUUUUGUGAUUGCUGUCCAUUUAGAAAGUCUUCAUGUCUGCCGUCAGUCACAACCCACCCUACAAACAAGAAGGACAUAUGGAAAUAAAUUGUGAAUGUGUGUUCACCUAAGUUUGCAUGUGUAUUCCCCUUAUUUGCUCUUUAGGGUUGUAUGAACUAAUCCUUCCAAUCAGUUGCUCGUGCUGAGUUUCACUUUUGCCCCAGCUACAGGUAAGAUUAAUACACUCGGAUUAGAAAAUCUUCCUUAGCUUCUCAAAUCUCUGUUAAGGCAAUUUUUUCUGUUAAAGUAUAAUCCAAUGCCAGUUCUCAAACCUUUUUAGCAACAUGCUGAGAAAGCUCAAGGAGUGAAAUUAUUUUGAACUGUUAUAAAUCAGCACGCAAAAGAGUUGAGCAACGUGAUCAGAUUAUAGUUAAUACAUCUGCAACCAAAUCAUGAUGCCCAAAUCAAACAUGUAUGAUCAUAAUGAUCCUCUAGAAAAAAGAUAGCUUGAACUUUGACCUACCUUCUCUACACUAAUUAUGUAAAGACAAAUCCAGUCUGCUCCUUAGCUGAGAAGCUGCUGGUGAUGAAUGCUUUUCAAACACACAUCCUGUCAAUGCAAAACCAAUCCUAUCAACUAAUAGGUGUCAUUUUUACAUCACAUCUACACCUGCUGUGUUAGCUCUUGUUGGCUAUACAGGGUGUAAACGGAUUGUGUAUGGCAAAAAAAACAAAAAACACACAAGACACAACAUUUGUACAUGUACUACAAUAGUAUAUCUGUCACUAAAGAAGCCCUGUAUGAGUGAAUGUAAUGUUUCAAUUGGAAAACUUGAGGGUAUUCAUGGGUUGUAGAGACUGCCUGCAUAUUAACUAUGCCUAG